AAGGGUCCGUAGGCGGGUUUAAUAAGUCAGUGGUGAAAGCCCAUCGCUCAACGGUGGAACGGCCAUUGAUACUGUUAAACUUGAAUUAUUAGGAAGUAACUAGAAUAUGUAGUGUAGCGGUGAAAUGCUUAGAGAUUACAUGGAAUACCAAUUGCGAAGGCAGGUUACUACUAAUGGAUUGACGCUGAUGGACGAAAGCGUGGGUAGCGAACAGGAUUAGAUACCCGAGU
rnacentral:rRNA from 1 species